AUCUUUCAUGUAUCAUCUUUGCCACCUUUCCAAAAAAUGAAUCUCCUUGGCAAUUCUCAGACUGCUCUGAGGCACUAAGAGUGGAAAAUAAAAAUAAAGGCACUCUCCUUCUGCAUGAAUGGAUCAAGCUGAGCUGUCAUGUCUGUCUGAAUCCCAUUGUCCUGCAAGGCUUCAGCCUGUCUUACAGAGAGCCUUGGAAUCUUCCUGAAGCUGCCAGACUCUACCUCUUCCUGGGAUGAAGCACACAAUAACAUAUCAAGACGGAGCCCUGGAGAGUCACCCAUCAUCAGGACACACCUUGUAAUGCACAAAAUUAACCUGCAAGCCCCACCCGCCUUACUGGUCUAGAACUCCAACCCAUGAAAUCACGAGACUGACAUUUGGAGUGUGGGUCUUGCUUCUUCAGUUCAACAUCUGGAAACACUGUCACAGACAUACUCAUAGGUAUAUUUCUUCUUUACAAUUCUAAGCUGAAUGAAGUUGAAAAUGAAGAUUAGCCUCCUCAUAUCAUCAUUACUUAGAUUCUAUGUACUGUCUAUCAUACUUUUAAAAGAAAGUGAGGUCCAUCAAUAGUGUGAAACUUUUCCUGAACACACCUGACAUUCUAACAUGCUUAUAUUAAUUAUCUAAACCUCCAUUGUUCCUCAAUACACUGUAAUUUCUGCAGACAAUAAUGGUCUCUGAUCUGCUAUAACCACUCCCAAAUAAUUGAAAAGAAGGUAAAUUUUCAAAACUGAGUUGUCUUCUAAAGCCUCUGACUAGAAUAUUUGGAAGAUGGAGUUAUUUUAUGCUCCGGUAUUUCUGUAUUGUAUUAAUAAUCUGUUGACUUUGGCAAACAACAUUCUUCCUGAUUAAUUUCUGCUCCAUUUUCUGUGCCUGGUAGCAUUUUAAUUAGGUGGCUUGUCUGUCAAAUGGCACUUUGCUGUGAUUGUUCUCAUUCAUGGAUUCUAAAAUAAUAAAGGCAGGUGUUGCAUAAAUUGUAUAGGGUGGCAUGCUGUCAUGAUCAUUUGCUAAUUAAUUGCAAAUUCAUCCUGCUCCUGUGAU